rnacentral:lncRNA from 1 species
AUGGGGUGGCACAGGGACACCAGGAGUGUCCCAAAUCCCAUUGUCCCCAGAGGACCCCAUAGCAGAGGCGACGUGUCCCCAAAUGUCCCCAAUGUGUCAUUGAGGCUCCCCCCUCCACCCCCAUCCUCCCCCCCCCCCGGUGUUGUUUUGGGGUUGGAAUGUACGUCUGUCCGUCACCACAACCCCACAGUGGGGACGUCUGGGGACAUUUGGGGACAUUUGGGGACAUUUGGGGACAUUUGGGGACAUUUGGGGACAUUUGGGGCCAGGGCUCCGUGUCCCCAAGGGCCCUCGUGGGGCUGUGAGUCACCAGAAGGAAAACAGGAAUGGAACCGGGGGGGGGGGGGGGGGGGGGAAGGAAGGGGGGAGGGAUCCGUUUGUGGGAUGUGGGGGGGUUGGGGAUGUUCCCAUCCCAAUCCCAAUCCCAAUCCCAAUCCCAAUCCCAAUCCCGGUCCCCAUCCCAAUAUCAACCCCAUCCCAUUCCAUCCCAAUUCCAAUCCCAUUCACAUCCCAAUCCCAAUCCGCAUCCCAAUCCCAAUCUCCAUCCCAAUUCCAUCCCACCCCAACCCUAAUCCCAUCCCAUCCCCAAUCCCAUCUCCAUCCCAAUCCCGGUCCCCAUCCCCAUCCCAAUAUCAGUGCCAUCCCAUCCCAUCCCCAUCCCAUUCCUUCCCAAUUCUAUCCCAUCCCAUCCACAUCCAAAUCCCAGUCCCCAUCCCCAUCCCAAUAUCAAUCCCAUUCCCAUCCCAUCCCCAUUCCAUCCCAUGCCAAUUCUAUCCCAUCCCAUCCCCAUCCCAAUCCCAGUCCCCAUCCUCAUCCCAAUAUCAACCCCAUCCCAUUCCAUCCCAUUCCAUCCCAAUUCCAAUCCCAUUCACAUCCCAAUCCCAAUCCCAUCCCAAUCCCAGUCUUCAUUCCCAUCCCAAUAUCAAUCCCAUUCCCAUCCCCAUCCCAUUCCAUCCCAUCCCAAUUCCAAUCCCAUUCACAUCCCAAUCCCAAUCUCCAUCCCAAUCCCAAUCUCCAUCCCAAUUCCAUCCCACCCCAACCCUAAUCCCAUCCCAGUCCCAAUCCCAAUCCCAUCCCAAUCCCAGUCUUCAUUCCCAUCCCAAUAUCAAUCCCAUUCCAUCCCAAAUCCAAUCCCAUUCACAUCCCAAUCCCAAUCUCCAUCCCAAACCCAUUACCACCCCAUCCCAAUCCCAAUUCCAUCCCAUCCCAGUCCCAAUCCCAUCCCCAAUCCCAAUUUCAGUCUCCAUUCCCAUCCCAAUAUCAAUCCCAUCCCAUCCCCAUCCCAUUCCAUCCCACCCCAACCCCAAUCCCAUCCCAAUCCCAACCCCUACCCCAACCCCAAUCCCCAUCUCCUUCCCAAUCCCAUCCUCGUCCCCACCCCAAUCCCAUCCCAACCCC